CGCGUAGGUGGUUUGAUAAGUCGGAUGUGAAAGCCCCGGGCUUAACCUGGGAAUUGCAUUCGAUACUGUCAGGCUAGAGUAUGGUAGAGGGAAGUGGAAUUCCAGGUGUAGCGGUGAAAUGCGUAGAUAUCUGGAGGAACAUCAGUGGCGAAGGCGACUUCCUGGACCAAUACUGACACUGAGGUGCGAAAGCGUGGGGAGCGAACA
rnacentral:rRNA from 1 species